rnacentral:lncRNA from 1 species
GCGCAGAGGCUGUCACUCCUCCAGAGCAAGAGUACCUACCACCUGCGGGCGCAGCCCCUCCCCGGGCGGGACGGGCUGCGCUGGAGGCGCGUCUUCUCCCUCCGCCGCGGUGCAGGAGUCGCUCCGCGGCAGCUCCAAGCCCUCCGCGGAGUCGGGGGACCCAGGUAAAGAGAUUAUGUUUCCAAAAAUUGGGAAAGAGAAUUUUAGCUUUCUUCAACUGGGGAGAAGACAAGGGACUCAGCACUGGUGGCAGACACCAAGCUCUACAGGCACACAGUGAUCAUCUUGGGGACUUGGCUAUGGUACUGGAAGUCAGUGGGAAGAGGCAGGGCUCAGGGCUCUACAGCAGCAUCCUGGAGUCAACAGAACAAGAGCAAAGAUGACAACCACAGAGACCAAACUGGCCCAACCUCCUGAUUUUGACAUUACAGAAACUCAAGACUGUUGCAAGACCCCCUGAGUGAGAGAAGGGAGGCCCAAAAUUAUUGGUUGAAUUUUCCCUCUAGCCUCUGAACGGACUACAUUUGAUUUAAGAAAUAAGGGAAUUUUGUGAUAUAUAUUGCAUGCUGGCAUUGUGGAAUAAAAGUCAUGUCCAUUACAUGUGUUUUGUUUUGUUUCUACAGUUUUUUUAUUUAACCCCCUCCUUGUUUGCACUUGCUGUCUGCCCUUGCUGCUGCCAGCUCUCCAC